rnacentral:rRNA from 1 species
AACGAACGCUGGCGGCAUGCCUAACACAUGCCAGUCGAACGAGACCUUCGGGUCUAGUGGCGCACGGGUGCGUAACGCGUGGGAACCUGCCCUUAGGUUCGGAAUAACUCCCCGAAUGGGGUGCUAAUACCGGAUAAUGUCUUCGGACCAAAGAUUUAUCGCCUUUGGAUGGGCCCGCGUUGGAUUAGCUAGUUGGUAGGGUAAAAGCCUACCAAGGCGACGAUCCAUAGCUGGUCUGAGAGGAUGAUCAGCCACACUGGGACUGAGAUACGGCCCAGACUCCUACGGGAGGCAGCAGUGGGGAAUAUUGGACAAUGGGUGAAAGCCUGAUCCAGCAAUGCCGCGUGAGUGAUGAAGGCCUUAGGGUUGUAAAGCUCUUUUACCCGGGAUGAUAAUGACAGUACCGGGAGAAUAAGCUCCGGCUAACUCCGU